rnacentral:rRNA from 1 species
GAUGAACGCUGGCGGCGUGCCUAAUACAUGCAAGUAGAACGCUGAAGGAAGGAGCUUGCUCUUUCCGGAUGAGUUGCGAACGGGUGAGUAACGCGUAGGUAACCUGCCUGGUAGCGGGGGAUAACUAUUGGAAACGAUAGCUAAUACCGCAUAACAGUAGAUGUUGCAUGAUAUCUACUUAAAAGGUGCAAUUGCACCACUACCAGAUGGACCUGCGUUGUAUUAGCUAGUUGGUGAGGUAACGGCUCACCAAGGCGACGAUACAUAGCCGACCUGAGAGGGUGAUCGGCCACACUUGGACUGAGACACGGCCCAGACUCCUACGGGAGGCAGCAGUAGGGAAUCUUCGGCAAUGGACGGAAGUCUGGCCGAGCAACGCCGCGUGAGUGAAGAAGGUUUUCGGAUCGUAAAGCUCUGUUGUAAGAGAAGAACGAGUGUGAGAGUGGAAAGUUCACACUGUGACGGUAUCUUACCAGAAAGGGACGGCUAACUACGUG